GGAGGAAUUCCCGAGCUGGCCAAAGGGGGCAGACUGUAAAUCUGCUGGCAACGCCUUCGCAGGUUCGAAUCCUGCUUCCUCCACCA
rnacentral:tRNA from 1 species